rnacentral:sRNA from 1 species
AGAUCAUUGUGUCAACCGUCUCGUGCAAAACCACAAAACCAGGCAGUUUUAUCAAGAUCCACCUAAGAAUGAAAAAUACUAUAAGCUGAACAGAAAUGAUUGGAAAAUAGUCGAUGCCAACGCAGAGGCUCUUGUUCUCGUAUGAGCCAUAGUUGUCUAUUGACUGAAGGUGGUGGAGAUAAUUCAACAAG